AACGAACGCUGGCGGCAUGCCUAACACAUGCAAGUCGAACGAGACCUUCGGGUCUUGUGGCGCACGGGUGCGUAACGCGUGGGAACCUGCCCUUAGGUUCGGAAUAACUCCCCGAAAGGGGUGCUAAUACCGGACAAUGUCUUCGGACCAAAGAUUUAUCGACUUUGGAUGGGCCCGCGUUGGAUUAGCUCGUUGGUAGGGUAAAAGCCUACCAAGGCGACCAUCCAUAGCUGGUCUGAGAGGAUGAUCAGCCACACUGGGACUGAGACACGGCCCAGACUCCUACGGGAGGCAGCAGUGGGGAAUAUUGGACAAUGGGCGAAAGCCUGAUCCAGCAAUGCCGCGUGAGUGAUGAAGGCCGUAGGGUUGUAAAGCUCUUUUACCCGGGAUGAUAAUGACAGUACCGGGAGAAUAAGCUCCGGCUAACUCCGUG
rnacentral:rRNA from 1 species